GAUGAAGAACGCAGCAAAAUGCGAUAAGUAAUGUGAAUUGCAGAAUUCAGUGAAUCAUCGAAUCUUUGAACGCACAUUGCGCCCAUUAGUAUUCUAGUGGGCAUGCCUGUUCGAGCGUCAUUAAUUCCACUUAAGCCCUGCUUAGUGUUGGGAAUCUACUCUAGUGGUGCUACCCUGGAGCUACCCCUGAAAGGGGGCUGGCCCGGUAGCUACCCUGUAGUUCCUCAAAGAUAGUGCGCGGAGUUGCGUGGUCCUCUGAGCUUAGUAACUAUACACCUAGCUUUUGAGUGUCCCGCGGCGCCUGCCGUUUAAACCCCAUCUUUUAAUGGUUGACCUCGGAUCAGGUAGGAAUACCCGCUGAACUUAAGCAUAUCAAUAAGCGGAGGA
rnacentral:misc_RNA from 1 species